rnacentral:misc_RNA from 1 species
GUCAGAUUACAUAAUUUACUCAAUUGGAUAAUUGAAUAUGGUACAAAUCGAAAGGUGGGAUUUUUCGCAUGAUAAGUAAAGUAAGAAAAUUUGCUUCAUCAUUCACAAAAUAGAACCAAUUAGUCAUCAAUUUCAGUGGAUAGUAACUGAUUAAAAAUGGUAAGGAUUUUCAACGAAACUAAAAAAUUCUUGAAAUCUAACCUUCUU